rnacentral:rRNA from 1 species
GACGAACGCUGGCGGCGUGCUUAACACAUGCAAGUCGAACGGAAAGGCCUGCUUUCCCUUGUGGUUUUCUGGUACUCGAGUGGCGAACGGAUGAGUAACACGUGAGUGAUCUGCCCCCAACUUGGGUAUAAGCCUGGGAAACUGGGUCUAAUUCUCGAUAGGACUGCAGGGUGGUGCCUGUGGUGGAAAACGAUCUGCUAGUGGUUGGGGAUGAGCUCGCGGCGUAUCAGCUUGUUGGGGGGGUAAUGGCCUACGAAGGCGGCGACGGGUAGCCGGCGUGGGAGGGUGGACAGGGGAACUGAGACUGGGAUCCGGCUCCUACUGGUGGGAGCAGCAGCAGUUGGGCAUAUUGGGGAGUGGGCGGGAGGCUGCAGCAGCGACGCAGCGAGGGAGAUGACGGGCUCGGGGUUGUAUGCUCUUUUCGACCGAGAGGAGGGUACGUGGUUGGAAGGGUCGUGACGGUAGUGGUAGAAGAAGCACCGGCUAACUACGUG